GAUGAACGCUGGCGGCGUGCCUAAUACAUGCAAGUCGAACGAACGGACGAUAAGCUUGCUCCUCUGACGUUAGCGACUGACGGGUGAGUAACACGUGGAUAACCUACCUAUAAGACUUGGAUAACUUCGGGAAACCGGAGCUAAUACCAGCUCAUAUGUUGAACGGCAUGAUUCAAUAGUGAAAGACGGUUUUGCUGUCACUUAUAGAUGGAUCCGCGCCGCAUUAUCUAGUUGGUAAGGUAACGGCUUACCAAGGCAACGAUGCGUAGCCGACCUGAGAGGGUGAUCCGCCACACUGGAACUGAGACACGGUCCAGACUCCUACGGGAGGCAGCAGUAGGGAAUCUUCCGCAAUGGGCGAAAGCCUGACGGAGCAACGCCGCGGGAGUGAUGAAGGUCUUCGGAUCGUAAAACUCUGUUAUUAGGGAAGAACAAAUGUGUAAGUAACUAUGCACGUCUUGACGGUACCUAAUCAGAAAGCCACGGCUAACUACGUG
rnacentral:rRNA from 1 species